CUGCUCACUUCAAUAGCACAUAUACUACAAUUGGAAUGAUACAGAGAAGAUUGGCAUGGCCUUUGCCUAAGGAUGAUAUGCAAAUUCAUGAAGCAUUCCAUAUUUUU